rnacentral:rRNA from 1 species
GACGAACGCUGGCGGCGCGCUUAACACAUGCAAGUCGAGCGAGAACCAGCCCUUCGGGGCUGGGGAAAGCGGCGAACGGGUGAGUAACACGUGGGUAAUCUGCCCUCGGCACCGGAAUAGCCCGGGGAAACCCGGAUUAAUGCCGGAUGGCCUCUCGAGCUCUCGAGCUCGUGAGAAAAGGUAGCUUCGGCCUCCGGCCGAGGAUGAGCCCGCGGUCGAUUAGCUUGUUGGUGAGGUAAUGGCNCACCAAGGCGACGAUCGAUAGCUGGUCUGAGAGGACGAUCAGCCACACUGGGACUGAGACACGGCCCAGACUCCUACGGGAGGCAGCAGUGGGGAAUCUUG